AUCGAACGCUGGCGGCAGGCUUAACACAUGCAAGUCGAGCGAGCGGCGGACGGGUGAGUAAUGUCUGGGAAACUGCCUGAGGGAGGGGGAUAACUACUGGAAACGGUAGCUAAUAUUGCAUACCAUCAGCUGUGCCCAGAUGGGAUUAGCUAGUAGGUGGGGUAAUGGCUCACCUAGGCGACGAGCCCUACCUGGUCUGAGAGGAUGACCGGCCACACUGGAACUGAUACACGGUCCAGAGUCCUACGGGAGGCAGCAGUGGGGAAUAGUGCGCAAUGGAGGCAAGCCUGAUACAGCCAUGCCGCGUGUGUGAAGAAGGCCUUCGGGUUGUAAAGCCCUUUCCGCGGGGAGGCGUUACUCGCAGAAGAAGCACCGGCUAACUCCGUGCCAGCAGCCGCGGUAAUUC
rnacentral:rRNA from 1 species